UUUGGUGACGAUGCGCUCAGGGGAAACACCCGUUUCCAUCCCGAACACGCAGGUUAAGACCUGAGCGGCCGAGGGUACUUGUUGGGAGACCGACUGGGAGAGUAGGUGGUUGCCAAAU
rnacentral:rRNA from 1 species